GGAAUAUUGGUUCUGGAGGUGGACGUGGUGGAGGAACGGGAUUUGACGGCCGUGGUGGUGGAAGAGGGGCUGGACGUGGUGGUGGUUCUUCAAGAGGGGAUUUAGAUAACAUAGUCCUUCCGAGUCAGAAUUUUGGGAAUUUGGUCCCUUUUGAAAAGAAUUUCUACACUGAGUGUCCUUCUGUGCGUGCAAUGACGGAGUCUGAAGUUAAGAUUUACAGAGAGAGGCAUGAUAUUAGGGUGGAAGGAUACGAUGUCCCAAGACCAAUUCGGAGUUUUCAGGAGGCGAAUUUUCCUGCUUACUGCCUUGAUGUAAUUGCGAAAUUGGGAUUUGUUGAGCCAACUCCAAUUCAGGCUCAAGGAUGGCCGAUGGCCUUGAAAGGAAGAGAUUUGAUUGGCAUUGCUGAGACUGGCUCCGGGAAGACUCUGGCCUAUCUACUGCCAGCUUUAAUACACAUUAGUGCCCAGCCUCGUUUAUCGCAUGGUGAAGGUCCUAUUGUGUUGGUGUUAGCACCCACCAGAGAAUUAGCUGUUCAAAUUCAACAAGAGGCUACUAAAUUCGGGUUGCGUGCUAAUAUUAGAAGUACUUGCGUUUAUGGUGGGGCUCCGAAGGGCCCUCAAAUUCGUGAUCUCAAAAAUGGUGUUGAGAUUGUUAUUGCUACACCUGGUCGGCUCAUAGAUAUGCUGGAAGCUGGUCACACAAACCUGCGGCGAGUGACUUACCUUGUUUUAGAUGAAGCAGAUAGAAUGCUGGACAUGGGAUUUGAGCCUCAAAUAAGGACAAUCGUUAGCCAAAUCCGACCUGAUAGGCAGACAUUAUAUUGGAGUGCCACAUGGCCAAGGGAGGUUGAGAAAUUGGCUAGACAAUUUUUACGCAAUGCAUAUAAGGUGAUUAUUGGUUCAC
rnacentral:misc_RNA from 1 species